UUUGGAUUCAAGGCUUGCAUCAUGUCCUAAUUGGAAGGCGCGUUGAGUUCAAGUUUCAAAAUUUCAAACUCAACGCCGAAAAGCUUUGAACCCAGCAGGCUGACAUGAGAGGCUUAGAAGACAAAUUCGAAAUAAAUAAAUGUACAUAACUAACGAGAGAAAAGAGAGAAGUAAAAAUUAUAUAGUUUUUGAAUUUGGCUCAAAAGUUUGAAAAAAAUUUCCGGAAAUUUUUAUUUGUCUGCGCGUUGCGUUCUCAUUUUGUUCCAAUGUCCACGUCCAGUCGUAAAUUGUAUCCUGAGUAUACCCUCAGGGGCGCCCGUCUGCGCUCCAAGUCCGUGAGCUUUCGCGAAGGAGUGCGCAAAUCGAUGCCUAGGGAUGUGCCACUAGGCCAAGAAAUGGAUCAGCUCAAGGCCAAGUUGCGUGCUCGAGCCUGCAGUCUGCCGCGUUUCUUGCAGCCACCCAAGGAAGCGAACAACUUACGCAAUUAUAUGGCCAUUUCGCGAGCCAAAUCGGUGAAGGAGCAGAAGGCCGUCGUCAAGGGGAACACGGGGAACAAUGCAGGAAUGUAACAUGCCAAGCAGUGCAAGUAGUUAGCAUAGUUGAGAAUUUAAUUACAGAACCCGACCAUCCCGCCCUCACACCGCACUCAAAUCCUCAAGCUGAUGGAAGGUAUAACUAUGUGUCAGAAUUCGGAAAUGGCAGGUACACACAGGAUGCGAGAUGGACGUGCAACAAUGUAGCUCACUCCCUCAAUCUUUCUCUCUCACUCUCUUUAACUGUAUGUUUUUGUCGAGCUGUAAAAAUUGCAACAUGUGCGCCCCGAGCUCCGAGCUGCGAGCUGAGACCCGCGGCCUGCAAUGGCCCUUGGGACAGAGUCCCGAACGACGAGCAACAACACAUCCAUCGGUCGUUGUCCAAGCAAUACGCACGCAUCCUAUAAAUUUUUAGGCAAAACAAAAUUAAAUGCAACCAUCAAACAGCA